UGAACUUUGCCUCCAACACACUAUAUAGUUCACUAGACCUAGAAGGUGUGUACCGCAUGUCGUGUAAUAAGUGGGUCACUUAUAAGGUCUACAUCUACAUUGUGCAAAGGAGAAUUGAAACACUUGACCACAGGGGAAAGUUGUUGUUGUUUUUCUAAGGAAAGUUUUAUUUGUUGAGGCUUUGAAAGAGAGAUUUGCCCUUUGCAGAACAAUUUUGUGGAGAGGUCUAUUUCCAUACUUUGUGCUGACGUUUCGGAGGGCUGGAUGGGACCAUGUCGCGAGCUAUAUUGUGCACGCGGGCCGUAUUUAGGGUAUCACUGGACUAUAGGAGUCUAAGCUGCCUGGAACUAAUAGCCGUCCUUCAUGCUACCAGAGAACAGGAUUAAGGACCUGGAGCGACACUGGGAAGUGUGUCGAUGGUCAAUAUUAAGGUCUAGGAAAGGACUGGUUGAACUAAAGACCAGACUCCCUUGUGUAUUGAUGGCUGAAGUCAAUGUUUG
rnacentral:sRNA from 1 species